GUCGAUAAAAUUCCCUUUCUUUCUAAAAAAAAGUCGUUAGGGGGUCUGAAAAGUCAUUGAAUCUAACAACAAAGUCGCUAGGUUUGCAACUACGUUUCCCAGACUGCAUCCCUGCUGAGAGUUCCUCCCUCCCUUCUCAUAUUGCAGGAAGAACGUAAGCGCCCGCCCCUUGUCAAUCAGUCACCAUAUAAUUUUGGAUUGGUUGUUGUGGUGAAGUUUUCCACCAAUAGGAGAGAUGUUGUGGUGUGUUUUUUUUUUCUUUUGGCAUGCCUUUUCCGCCUGUAAGAGCUGUCGCUAAUGUCUGCAUGCUAUGUUUUCCUGUCUCAUACAGCGUGAUCGAGCGCCGAACGUGAUCAAAAUAAGCAGAAAAAAAGUAUCGCGGACAUAAUUUAUCAUAACUCUAGUUUUAUUUGGCCUAUCAACACAAUUUAAAAACUGGUAUAUAGUUUGAGGUCCUCACUUUUGAGAUAAGUUGAAACGGAGGGUGAACGAGGCUCCGUCUUGCAGCUACAUCCGGUUAAAUAUGUCAUGUGACUUGAACGCUGGGGAGCGUCAAUCGACUGCAGAGCCAGCAGACAAAGUAGUUAUGCCACUAAGAGGCACACAUUUGUCAUAUGCUAUAAUCCUAACAUAUUUUAAUGCUUUUUCUAUUUAAACCUAAUGGAUCUAAGGUUUGACCUUCAAAAUUUAGGAAGAAUAUUUUUUUGCAGUAAUGACCCCCUUAAACAACCAGAGGUCCUUUCCUAAAGUUUAUGGAAAUUUUAGUGAAGGCCUUGGUUUCUUUCCUUGCAAAAUGUAUAGAAAUAAUAAAGCUAAAUACCAUAAAAUGGUCUUGGCGUAUUAGCAGUGAUAUAAAAUAGUGGUUUGAAUAUGAAUGAACAACAAAAAAAAACAUCAACAGAGCCUUUUUGAGUUGGGAUUCUUUCAUUAUCACACAAAAACAGACAUAGACAGACAUCUAAAGGGUAAGGGAAUGAUCAGCCCUCCUAACUCUCAGAUGAAUCUUCAAAAUUCACCGCAGAAAUAUGCUUAUUAUUCUUCUCAGAGUACUGCAAGAUAUAUACAAACACACACAGACACACACACACACACACACACACACACACACACACACACUCAGAGUCUGUUUUUUAGCACCUGCAAAAACAUGCUAUUUACAUAUUUGACAAGAAUGCAGAGGCUCCUUUUGCCCCUGAAAAAAAUCAAAUUUCAAACACAACUUGACUGGUCAUUUCUCCAAAAGACAACCAUGAAGCUCCAUCCAAACCUGAAGCAGGCAGUUGGUGCAUGUGUACAGUAACCUGAGGGGAGUGAGGUGACUGCUUCUGAGGAGAACAUGAGCAGUGAAGAUUCACCUUGGAGCUAGAACAGGGACGUGCACAUGAUUAUACAGGGGCAGGGGCUCAAGUUUUUUCCAGUCAUUUAUACAAUAUGGAAAUUAAUGUGAAAUUAAAAAACAAAGUAUUAAUAGAAAGGUAAUGACUGUCCUGUGUAGAUGACAGUGAUAUCCAAUAGGCUAGGCACUCACGAGGCUGGCUGUGGCAAGUGUAAGUGAAAGCAACACGCACUGGCAGGAAGAACAGCAAACGCCGAUGAAGGAAAAGGGUCUUUGCAGUGAUGGGCGUUACCAGAGAGGGCGAUGGCCAGAGGACACGAAUGGGACGGGGAGGCAGCGCGUUGGGGGGGGGGGGCGGCGCGACACGGCUCGGGCCCGCCAGUGCCCUAACGGGGCCCUAGUUAGGGCCCGAGCGUAGCUGCUAAGCAGCUGCGAGAGCCCUAUUAUUCCUGAUGGAUUCUUCUUUCUUUAGGGCCCGAGCGUAGCUGCUAAGCAGCUGCGAGAGCCCUCUUGUUCCUGAUGGAUUCUUCUUUUGUUAUUAUUAGGGCCCGAGCGUAGCUGCUAAGCAGCUGCGAGAGCCCUGUUGUUCCUGAUGAGUUUUUCUUUCUUCUUUCUUUCUUUCUUUCUUUCUUUCUUUCUUUAGGGCCCGAGCGUAGCUGCUAAGCAGCUGCGAGAGCCCUAUUAUUCCUGAUGGAUUCUUCUUUCUUCUUCUUCUUAUUAUUAUUUUUCUGCCCCUUUGAACUGGAAAAUGGCCCACUUCCCACUGGUGAAAAGUCAUGAAAUUUGGCAGGACGACCGGGCCUGGUGAAAAAUUCGAUAUUCUGAAGUCGCCCAAAAAAUCAAAUGCAAAAUGGCUCCAUAGCGCCCCCUAAGGUGAAAAAUUCACAUGAUUGAGUGUCACGCCUGUACACUUUGUCAAAAUGACACAAAAUUUGACACACACGUGUAUCUCAAUAAGAUCUACAAAAAAGUCAGUGCGGGCGUAUCUGUCAAAUGUACGAUUAAAGGGCUAUUUCGCAUUUUUUGCCGAUCCGCACACAUUGGAAUUUCGCUAACUCCUCCGAAGGCUUUCGUUCCACCGGCACCAAAUUUGCUCAGGCCAAUCUACACCCCAUGGCCAUUAAAAGUUGUACAAAUCAUGACGCUGCAUCCCACGGUUUACGUUCUAGGGGGCGCCAAAGAUAACCCAGAAAUCCACAUUCUUAAAAGUCGUAUAACUUUUUAUUUUUGUCCUCACUGGCCUCCAAGUUUUCUAGGAUGAUGCAAUGUCCAGCCAUCAACACAUUUGUGAAGGAAUUUUUACUCCCCAAAAGAGCGCCCCCCCAUGGCAGGAGAAAAAAGUCCAUUUUUUCUUGUCUCCUAAGGCGAAAAUUCACACUAUUGACUGUCACGCCUUUACGCUUUGUCAUAUUGACACAAAAAUUGACACACACAUGUAUCUCAAUAAGAUCUACAAAAAAGUCAGUGCGGGCGUAUCUGUCAAAUGUACGGUGAAAGGGCUAUUUCGCAUUUUUUGCCGAUCCGCACACAUUGGAAUUUCGCUAACUCCUCCGAAGGCUUUCGUUCCAAAGGCACCACAUUUGCUGAGGCCAAUCUACACCCCAUGGCCAUUAAAAGUUGUACAAAUCAUGAUGCUGCACCCCACGGUUUACGUUCUAGCGGGCGCCAAAGAUAACCCAAAAAUCCACAGUCUUAAAAGUCUUAUAACUUUUUAUUUUUGUCCUCACUGGCCUCCAAGUUCUCUAGGAUGAUGCAAUGUCCAGCCAUCAACACAUUUGUGAAGGAAUUUUUACUCGCCAAAAGAGCGCCCCCCCCCAUGGCAGGAGAAAAAAGUCCAUUUUUUCUUGUCUCCUAAGGCGAAAAUACACAUUGUUGACUGUCACGCCUUUACGCUUUGUCAAAAUGACACAAAAUUUGACACACACAUGUAUCUCAAUAAGAUCUACAAAAAAGUCAGUGCGGGCGUAUCUGUCAAAUGUACGGUUAAAGGGUUAUUUCGCAUUUUUUGCCGAUCCGCACACAUUGGAAUUUCGCUAACUCCUCCUAAAUCUUUUGUCCCAUCGGCUUCAAAUUUGCUCAGGUCAAUAUACACCCCAUGGCCUUUCAAAGUUGUACAAAUCAUGACGCUGCACCCCACGGUUUACGUUCUAGGGGGCGCCAAAGAGGACCCAAAUAUCCACAUUUUUAAAAGUCUUAUAACUUUUUAUUUUUGUCCUCACUGGCCUCCAAGUUUUCUAGGAUGAUGCAAUGUCCAGCCAUCAACACAUUUGUGAAGGAAUUUUUUCUCCCCAAAAGAGCGCCCCCCCAUGGCAGGAGAAAAAGUCAAGUUUUUCCUGCCCAUCGCUCAAUGGCUCAAACGCAUCGCUCUCUCUGCAAAACCGAAAGGAGGAGCAACUUGCCAUUUGGAUAUAUACUAGCUGUGUUUGUGCCCUCACUCAUGGUCCAGACUUUUUUCAAAUAGGACAUGUAGUUUGUCUGCAGCAAGCGUUUUGGUAGAAACUGCGCCUCCCAUUCAUUAUAAUGGGAAAUGACCACAGACAAGUGCGCACACCAUCUUUGGACCUUGAGUGUGACGCGAUCGGGAGGGGGAGGCGGUCGCGCUGGGGGCGGCGCGACGCGGCUCGGGCCCGACAGUGCCCCACCAGGGCCCUAGUUCUUCUUAUUUUUCCUCCCCUUUGAAGGGGAAAAUGGCCCACUUCCCACUGGCGAAAACUCAUGAAAUUUGGCAGGACGACCGGGCCUGGUGAAAAAUUCGAUAUUCUGAAGUCGCCCAAACAAUAAAAUGCAAAAUGGCUCCAUAGCGCCCCCUAAGGUGAAAAUUCACACUAUUGACUGUCACGCCUGUACGCUUUGUCAUAUUGACACAAAAAUUGACACACACAUGUAUCUCAAUAAGAUCUACAAAAAAGUCAGUGCGGGCGUAUCUGUCAAAUGUACGGUUAAAGGAUUAUUGCGCAUUUUUUGCCGAUCCGCACACAUUGGAAUUUCGCUAACUCCUCCGAAGGCUUUCGUUCCACCGGCACCACAUUUGCUCAGGCCAAUCUACACCCCAUGGCCAUUAAAAGUUGUACAAAUCAUGACGCUGCGCCCCACGGUUUACGUUCUAGGGGGCGCCAAAGAUAACCCAAAAAUCCACAUUCUUAAAAGUCUAAUAACUUUUUAUUUUUGUCCUCACUGGCCUCCAAGUUUUCUAGGAUGAUGCAAUGUCCAGCCAUCAACACAUUUGUGAAGGAAUUUUUACUCCCCAAAAGAGCGCCCCCCCAUGGCAGGAGAAAAAAGUCCAUUUUUUCUUGUCCCCUAAGGUGAAAAUACAUAUUGUUGAGUGUCACGCCUAUACGCUUUGUCAUAUUGACACAAAAUUUGACACACACGUGUAUCUCAAUAAGAUCUACAAAAAAGUCUAUGCGCACGUAUCUGUCAAAUGUACGGUUAAAGGGUUAUUUCGCAUUUUUUGCCGAUCGCACACAUUGGAAUUUCGCUAACUCCUCCUAAAGCUUUCGUUCCACCGGCACCAAAUUUGCUCAGGCCAAUCGACACCCCAUGGCCAUUAAAAGUUGUACAAAUCAUGACGCUGCACCCCACGGUUUACGUUCUAGGGGGCGCCAAAGAUAACCCAAAAAUCCACAGUCUUAAAAGUCUUAUAACUUUUUAUUUUUGUCCUCACUGGCCUCCAAGUUUUGUAGGAUGAUGCAAUGUCCAGCCAUCAACACAUUUGUGAAGGAAUUUUUACUCCCCAAAAGAGCGCCCCCCCAUGGCAGGAGAAAAAAGUCCAUUUUUCUUGUCCCCUAAGGUGAAAAUACACAUUGUUGAGUGUAACACCUGUACGCUUUGGCAAAAUGACACAAAAAUUGACACACACAUGUAUCUCAAUAAGAUCUACGAAAAAGUCAAUGCGCGCGUAUCUGUCAAAUGUACGGUUAAAGGGUUAUUCCGCAUUUUUUGCCGAUCCGCACACAUUGGAAUUUCGCUAACUCCUCCGAAGGCUUUCGUUCCACCGGCACCACAUUUGCUCAGGCCAAUCUACACCCCAUGGCCAUUAAAAGUUAUUCAAAUCAUGACGCUGCACCCCACGGUUUAGGUUCUAGGGGGAGCCAAAGAUAACCGUAAAAUCCACAUAUUUAAAAGUCUUAUAACUUUUUAUUUUUGUCCCCACUGGCCUCCAAGUUUUCUAGGAUGAUGCAAUGUCCAGCCAUCAACACAUUUGUGAAGGAAUUUUUACUCGGCAAAAGAGCGCCCCCCAUGGCAGGAGAAAAAAGUCAAUUUUUUCUUGUCCACUAAGGUGAAAAUACACAUUGUUGAGUGCUACGCCUGUAUGUUUUGUCGUAUUGACACAAAAUUUUACAUACACGUGUAUUUACAUAAGAUCUUCGAAAAAGUCAAUGGCCACGUAUCUGUAAAAUGUACGGUUAAAGGGUUAUUUCGCAUUUUUUGCAGAUUCGCACACAUUGGAAUUUCGCUAAUUCCUCCGAAGGCUUUCGUUCCACCGGCACCACAUUUGCUCAGGCCAAUCUACACCCCAUGGCCAUUAAAAGUUAUUCAAAUCAUGACGCUGCACCCCACGGUUUAGGUUCUAGGGGGCGCCAAAUAUAACCCUAAAAUCCACAUAUUUAAAAGUCUUAUAACUUUUUAUUUUUGUCCUCACUGGCCUCCAUGUUUUCUAGGAUGAUGCAAUGUCCAGCCAUCAACACAUUUGUGAAGGAGUUUUUCUCUUUAAAAGAGCGCCCCCCCAUGGCAGGAGAAUAAAGUCAAGUUUUUCUUGUUCAUCAUUCAAUGGCUCAAACGCACUGCUCUCUCGGCAAAAGCGAAAGGAGGAGCAACUUGCCAUUUGGAUAUAUCUUAGCUGUGUUUGUGCCCUCACUCAUGGUCCAGACUUUUUUCAAAUAGGACAUGGAGUUUUUCUGCAGCGAGCGUUUUGGUAGAAACUGCGCCUCCCGUUCAUUAUAAUGGUAAAUGACCACAAACAAGUGCGCACACCAUCUUUGGACCUUGAGUGUGACGCGAUCGGGUGGGGGAGGCGGUCGCGCUGGGGGCGGCGUGACACGGCUCGGGCCCGCCAGUGCCCCAACGGGGCCCUAGUUAUUAUUUUUCCUCCGCUUUAAACUGGAAAAUGGCCCACUUCCCACUGGCGAAAACUCAUGAAAUUUGGCAGGACGACCGGGCCUGGUGAAAAAUUCGAUAUUCUGAAGUCACCCAAACAAUAAAAUGCAAAAUGGCUCCAUAGCGCCCCCUAAGGUGAAAAUUCACACUAUUGACUGUCACGCCUUUACGCUUUGUCAUAUUGACACAAAAAUUGACACACACAUGUAUCUCAAUAAGAUCUACAAAAAAGUCAGUGUGGGCGUAUCUGUCAAAUGUACGGUUAAAGGGUUAUUUCGCAUUUUUUGCCGAUCCGCACACAUUGGAAUUUCGCUAACUCCUCCGAAGGCUUUCGUUCCACCGGCACCACAUUUGCUCAGGCCAAUCUACACUCCAUGGCCAUUCAAAGUUGUACAAAUCAUGACGCUGCACCCCAUGGUUUAGGUUCUAGGGGGCGCCAAAAAUAACCCAAAAAUCCACAUUCUUAAAAGUUUUAUAACUUUUUAUUUUUGUCCUCACUGGCCUCCAAGUUUUCUAGGAUGAUGCAAUGUCCAGCCAUCAACACAUUUGUGAAGGAAUUUUUACUCCCCAAAAGAGCGCCCCCCCAUGGCAGGACAAAAAAGUCAAUUUUUUCUUGUCCCCUAAGGUGAAAAUACACAUUGUUGAGAUUCACGCCUGUACGCUUUGUCAUAUUGACAAAAAAAUUGACACACACGUGUAUCUCAAUAAGAUCUACAAAAAAGUCAAUGCGCGCGUAUCUGUAAAAUGUACGGCUAAACGGCUAUUUUGCAUUUUUUGCCGAUUCGCACACAUUGGAAUGUGGCUAACUCCUCCUAAGGCUUUCGUCCCACUGACACCAAAUUUGCUCAGGCCAAUCUACACCCCAUGGCCAUUCAAAGUUGUAAAAAUCAUGCCGCUGCACCCCAUGGUUUACGUUCUAGGGGGCGCCAAAGAUGACCCAAAUAUCCACAUUCUUAAAAGUCGUUUUGGCCACUGCAGGAGUACAGAGUACUGCAGGAUACACACACACAGACACACACACACACAGACACACACACACACGCACACACACACACACACACACACACACACACACACAUAUACACUCAGAGUCUGUUUUUCAGCACCUGCAAAAACAUGCUAUUUACAUAUUUGACAACAAUGCAGAGACUUCCUUUUGCCCCUGAAAAAAAUCAAAUUUCAAACACAACUUGACUGCUCAUUUCUCCAAAAGACAACCAUGAAGCUCCAUCCAAACCUGAAGCAGGCAGUUGGUGCAUGUGUACAGUAACCUGAGGGGAGUGAGGUGACUGCUUCUGAGGAGAACAUGAGCAGUGAAGAUUCACCUUGGAGCUAGAACAGGGACGUGCACAUGAUUAUACAGGGGCAGGGGCUCAAGUUUUUUCCAGUCAUUUAUACAAUAUGGAAAUUAAUGUGAAAUUAAAAAACAAAGUAUUAAUAGAAAGGUAAUGACUGUCCUGUGUAGGUGACAGUGAUAUCCAAUAGGCUAGGCACUCACGAGGCUGGCUGUGGCAAGUGCAAGUGAAAGCCACACGCACUGGCAGGAAGAACAGCAAACGCCGAUGAAGGAAAAGGGUCUUUGCAGUGAUGGGCGUUACCAGAGAGGACGAUGGCCAGAGGACACAAAUGGGACGGGGAGGCAGCGCGUUGGGGGGGGGGGGGCGCGCGACACAGCUCGGGCCCGCCAGUGCCCCAACGGGGCCCUAGUCUUCUUCUUCUUAUUAUUAUUUUUCUGCCCCUUUGAACUGGAAAAUGGCCCACUUCCCACUGGUGAAAAGUCAUGAAAUUUGGCAGGACGACCGGGCCUGGUGAAAAAUUCGAUAUUCUGAAGUCGCCCAAAAAAUCAAAUGCAAAAUGGCUCCAUAGCGCCCCCUAAGGUGAAAAAUUCACAUGAUUGAGUGUCACGCCUGUACGCUUUGUCAAAAUGACACAAAAUUUGACACACACGUGUAUCUCAAUAAGAUCUACAAAAAAGUCAGUGCGGGCGUAUCUGUCAAAUGUACGGUUAAAGGGCUAUUUCGCAUUUUUUGCCGAUCCGCACACAUUGGAAUUUCGCUAACUCCUCCGAAGGCUUUCGUUCCACCGGCACCAAAUUUGCUCAGGCCAAUCUACACCCCAUGGCCAUUAAAAGUUGUACAAAUCAUGACGCUGCAUCCCACGGUUUACGUUCUAGGGGGCGCCAAAGAUAACCCAGAAAUCCACAUUCUUAAAAGUCGUAUAACUUUUUAUUUUUGUCCUCACUGGCCUCCAAGUUUUCUAGGAUGAUGCAAUGUCCAGCCAUCAACACAUUUGUGAAGGAAUUUUUACUCCCCAAAAGAGCGCCCCCCCAUGGCAGGAGAAAAAAGUCCAUUUUUUCUUGUCUCCUAAGGCGAAAAUACACACUAUUGACUGUCACGCCUUUACGCUUUGUCAUAUUGACACAAAAAUUGACACACACAUGUAUCUCAAUAAGAUCUACAAAAAAGUCAGUGCGGGCGUAUCUGUCAAAUGUACGGUUAAAGGGUUAUUUCGCAUUUUUUGCCGAUCCGCACACAUUGGAAUUUCGCUAACUCCUCCGAAGGCUUUCGUUCCAAAGGCACCACAUUUGCUCAGGCCAAUCUACACCCCAUGGCCAUUAAAAGUUGUACAAAUCAUGACGCUGCACCCCACGGUUUACGUUCUAGGGGGCGCCAAAGAUAACCCAAAAAUCCACAGUCUUAAAAGUCUUAUAACUUUUUAUUUUUGUC